AUGCCCAGAAUGGGUAGAUCCACAUAGGAAGUAGAUGAGGGGUUAUCAGGAGCUAGGGAGACAUGGGAAUAGGAGUGACUGUUAACAGGCAUGGGGUUUCUUUAUGCAAAUGAUGAAAAUGUUCUGGAGUUAAGAGGGUCAUGAUGGUUGCACAAUUUUGUGACCAUAUCAAAAAACUGAAUUGUACACUUUAAAAUGGGUAAAUUUUAUGGCGUAAGAGUUAUAUCUCAGGCCAGGCGCAGUGGCUCACACCUGUAA
rnacentral:lncRNA from 1 species